UAGAGCAAAUCUCAAAAAAACAAUCUCAGUUCAGACUGCAGGCUGCAACUCGCCUGCACGAAGUCGGAAUUGCUAGUAAUCGCGGAUCAGCAUGCCGCGGUGAAUACGUUCCCGGGCCUUGUACACACCGCCCGUCACACCAUGGGAGCCGGUAAUACCCGAAGUCAGUAGUCCAACCUCGUGAGGACGCUGCCGAAGGUAGGAUUGGCGACUGGGGUGAAGUCGUAACAAGGUAAC
rnacentral:rRNA from 1 species